UUCUGGUGAUUGGUCACAGCUGAUGUGGUGGAAUAAAGGGACUCAUGGCCAUUGAAGAUGAUACAGCUCCCACUAAGACGUAUUUAUCUCUAAUGCUUAUUUAAGAAACCAUGAGUUUCUUGGCGACUAGUUCACUAACUUUUAUUGAAAUUCUUGAAAUGGCAGGGACUUCAUCGAAAACUGGAUCCAGAUUUGUGCACCGGCCAAAAACAGGAUCAAGCAGGAAUGUAAAGACCUAAGCUUUGAAGAUCAGUGCACCAACUGCGAGAAGGAAGCCGUGAACGUGUCCUUGGGGAAUCUCUUGUCUUACCCAUUCGUGAGAGAAAGAGUGGUGAAGAACAAACUUGCCAUAAGAGGAGCUCACUACGAUUUCGUGAAAGGAACAUUUGAUCUCUGGGAACUCGACUUCAAGACCAUCCCUGUCUUUGCCUUGUCUUAAAAAAUUCCUCCUCAAUCUUUUCUCUAUGUUUCUUCCAAGUGUGUUCUCCUAAUCUUUUUGUAACUUCAUCUUUGCUACUUCUGUUUCAAAAUAAAUGAAUAAGGCUUCUAAAGAGCACUCUUUUAUUUCCAUCCUCAUUGAUACAUAGAGAAUAUAACACUUUUGACACUUUCUUAGCUUAUACACAU